UACGGAGGGUGCAAGCGUUAAUCGGAAUUACUGGGCGUAAAGCGUGCGUAGGUGGUUCGUUAAGUCCGUUGUGAAAGCCCCGAGCUCAACUUGGGAAUUGCAGUGGAUACUGGCGAGCCGGAGUGCGGUAGAGGAAGGUGGAAUUCCCGGUGUAGCGGUGAAAUGCGUAGAGAUCGGGAGGAACACCAGUGGCGAAGGCGGCCUUCUGGACCAGCACUGACACUCAAGCACGAAAGCGUGGGGAGCAAACAGG
rnacentral:rRNA from 1 species